rnacentral:lncRNA from 1 species
UGACAACACAAAUGUGGAAGCCUGUCAUUCAGCCUCCAGCCUGUUGUAGUGUCAGUGCAAGCCUUGCCAAAAGUAGUUCUCCUAGCAACACUUACAGUAAAAUACCCUCUUGUCCUGCAACCUUUGCUUUAAUUAAAUGAAAAUGGAUCAAGCAAAAUCAGAGGUUUUCUUUUGUUGAUUAAACUGUGAUUUAUUUAGCAAAUAUCCUCCAUCUGUUUACAGAAAAUGUUGGCUUCUGACUCGUAACUACGUGGACCAACUGCAACCACAGGCUGUGCCAGUGCUCCUGAAACCAGACCGAGUUCUGUGCUGUGCUGCUGCAUCUCCUCCCACACCUGCCAUCCUCUGGGCAGUGCUGAAGCAGGCAGGAAGCACCAUAAAUCUUGUGAAGAAGCCUUCUGGCAAGCUUCCUAGCCCGGCUCUGCUGAGCGCUGAGUUUUGGAUCAUUUGGAUAAACUUCGUGAUGAGGAAUGGCCAGUGCCUGGGUGUCCUAAUGUUGGGCAGAGCAGGACGUGGAGCUCGUUUGUAGGUCUGAAGGCAGCAUGGACAGCUUGGCAGAUCCUUUUGUUUG